rnacentral:rRNA from 1 species
CACGGGGGGAGCAAGCGUUGUUCGGAAUCACUGGGCGUAAAGGGCGUGUAGGCGGUCAAGUAAGUGGAAUGUGAAAUGCCCCGGCUCACCCGGGGACCUGCAUCCCAAACUGCUUGGCUUGAGUAUGGGAGAGGAUGAGGGAAUUCCUGGUGUAGCGGUGAAAUGCGUAGAUAUCAGGAGGAACACCUGCGGUGUAGACGGCUUACUGGACCUGAUCUGACACUGAGGUGCGAAAGCUAGGGUAGCAAACGGG